rnacentral:rRNA from 1 species
GAUGAACGCUGGCGGCGUGCCUAAUACAUGCAAGUCGAGCGAACAGACGAGAGUGCUUGCACUCUCUGACGUUAGCGGCGGACGGGUGAGUAACACGUGGGUAACCUACCUAUAAGACUGGGAUAACUUCGGGAAACCGGAGCUAAUACCGGAUAAUAUUUAGCUUCGCAUGAAGCAAUAGUGAAAGACGGUUCUGCUGUCACUUAUAGAUGGACCCGCGGUGUAUUAGCUAGUUGGUGAGGUAACGGCUCACCAAGGCAACGAUACAUAGCCGACCUGAGAGGGUGAUCGGCCACACUGGGACUGAGACACGGCCCAGACUCCUACGGGGGGCAGCAGUAGGGAAUCUUCCGCAAUGGACGAAAGUCUGACGGAGCAAUGCCGCGUGAGUGAAGAAGGUUUUCGGAUCGUAAAACUCUGUUGUAAGGGAAGAACAAGUACGUUAGUAACUGAACGUACCUUGACGGUACCUUACCAGAAAGCCACGGCUAACUACGUG